rnacentral:pre_miRNA from 10 species
CCGGCUGGCGCCGCGGGCGUCGCGGGACCGCCCUCGUGCUGGUGGCGGUGGGAUCCCGUGCACGUUUACCCGGUGGCCUGGCUCGC